UUUUAAAUAUCAAUAUGAAAAUCUACUUUGCAUUGAUGGCUCUCUUAAUUUGUUGCAAUUUAACAACAGCAGCAGAGAAGAAAUGCGCACUAGAAUUGUGUACCCUUAGCAUCCCUCCCCAAUGUCAUUGUGCUCGAUAUGAAUGAUGUCUCCUCCGAGAAACGAAUAGAUUAUACUACAUUCCUUGCAAAGAUGAAUUAUCGCUCUAUUCACUUAAAAUAUGCACCAAGAAUUAUAAUUCAUACAAUAAAACUUAUAUAAAAUAUGGGUUUUUUAAUUUUUACCUUUCGUUCAUUAUAGAUUAUUUAAUUUAUAAAUUGCA